rnacentral:rRNA from 1 species
CGUAGUUGAACCUUGGGCCUGGCUGGCCGGUCCGCCUCACCGCGUGUACUGGUCCGGCCGGGCCUUUCCCUCUGUGGAACCCCAUGCCCUUCACUGGGUGUGGCGGGGAAACAGGACUUUUACUGUGAAAAAAUUAGAGUGCUCCAGGCAGGCCUAUGCUCGAAUACAUUAGCAUGGAAUAAUAGAAUAGGACGUGUGGUUCUAUUUUGUUGGUUUCUAGGACCGCCGUAAUGAUUAAUAGGGACAGUCGGGGGCAUCAGUAUUCAAUUGUCAGAGGUGAAAUUCUUGGAUUUAUUGAAGACUAACUACUGCGAAAGCAUUUGCCAAGGAUGUUUUCAUUAAUCAGGAACGAAAGUUAGGGGAUCGAAGACGAUCAGAUACCGUCGUAGUCUUAACCAUAAACUAUGCCGACUAGGGAUCGGACGAUGUUAUUAUUUUGACUCGUUCGGCACCUUACGAGAAAUCAAAGUGCUUGGGCUCCAGGGGGAGUAUGGUCGCAAGGCUGAAACUUAAAGAAAUUGACGGAAGGGCACCACCAGGGGUGGAGCCUGCGGCUUAAUUUGACUCAACACGGGGAAACUCACCAGGUCCAGACACAAUAAGGAUUGAC